rnacentral:lncRNA from 1 species
UUUUUUUUUCUUGUUUAUAUUUAUUCUGUUAGGAAGGUUGUUUUAUUUUUCUUGUAGUGUUGUUCAAUUUCUUUUUCUUUGCUUGUGCUUGGGUACUACUUGUGCAUGUCGCUAGGUUAUCGUUGUUAUUUGGCCGUUUUUAUAGCUUACUCUCAUAUAAAAACGAAGAUCGCACCAUCGGUAGGAAAGUCUAGGCGAGAGGAAUGUGCCUCUUGUUUCUUAUAACCUUGAAGGGAAACAUUGUCUGAG